GACAUAGGUGGCGAACGUUAUCCGGUUUUAUUGGGCGUAAAGCGUGCGUAGGUGGUUGUUUAAGUCUGUUGUGAAAGCCCUGGGCUCAACCUGGGAACUGCAGUGGAAACUGGACAACUAGAGUGUGGUAGAGGGUAGCGGAAUUCCCGGUGUAGCAGUGAAAUGCGUAGAGAUCGGGAGGAACAUCCAUGGCGAAGGCAGCUACCUGGACCAACACUGACACUGAGGCACGAAAGCGUGGGGAGCAAACAGG
rnacentral:rRNA from 1 species